GGCUGAGACGGCACCCUAGGAAAGCGAAGCCAUUCAAUACGAAGUAUUGUAUAAAUAGAGAACAGCAG
rnacentral:sRNA from 1 species